AGAGUUUGAUCAUGGCUCAGGGUGAACGCUGGCGGCGUGCCUAAUACAUGCAAGUCGAGCGCCCUGCACAUUGCGCUUCUUGAAUCUUUCGAGACAGGACGCGGGGAUUUUUUGAAAGAAAAAUCAGCCGCAUCAAUAACGAAAGGGAUGAAGGUCUGAGCGAUCAAACCGGAACAAGAAGAAGCGUAGCGUGCAGGGCGCGGCGAACGGGUGAGUAACACGUGGGAAUCUGCCCUCAAGUAAGGGAUACCCCGUUGAAAGACGGAAUAAUACCUUAUGUGAUCUUCGGAUUAAAGAUUUAUCGCUUGAGGAGGAGCCCGGGGUUGAUUAGCUUGUUGGUAGGGUAAUGGCCUACCAAGGCGAUGAUCAAUAGCUGGUCUGAGAGGAUGAUCAGCCACACUGGAACUGAGACACGGUCCAGACUCCUACGGGAGGCAGCAGUAGGGAAUCUUCCACAAUGGGCGAAAGCCUGAUGGAGCAACGCCGCGUGCAGGAUGAAGGGUUUCGGCUCGUAAACUGCUUUUAUAUGGGAAGAUUAUGACGGUACCAUAUGAAUAAGAGUUGGCUAACUCCGUGCCAGCAGCCGCGGUAAUACGGAGGACUCAAGCGUUACCCGGAAUCACUGGGCGUAAAGCGUUGCGUAGGCGGUUUGUUAAGUGAGAUAUGAAAUGUUACGGCUCAACCGUGAAUGUGUAUCUCAAACUAGCAAACUAGAGGAUGGUAGAGGUCAGUGGAAUUGCUGGUGUAGGAGUGAAAUCCGUAGAUAUCAGCAGGAACACCAAUGGCGUAGCAGCUGACUGGACCAUUCCUGACGCUCAGCACGAAAGCGUGGGGAGCGAACCGGAUUAGAUACCCGGGUAGUCCACGCCGUAAACGAUGGAUACUAGCUGUCGGGGGUAUCGACCCCCUCGGUAGCGAAGCUAACGCGUUAAGUAUCCCGCCUGGGGAGUACGGCCGCAAGGCUAAAACUCAAAGGAAUUGACGGGGACCCGCACAAGCGGUGGAGCGUGUGGUUUAAUUCGAGGCUACGCGAAGAACCUUACCAAGGCUUGACAUCCCAGUUGCCGUUCUAAGAAAUUAGAACUUCAUUUAGUUGGACUGGUGACAGGUGAUGCAUGGCCGUCGUCAGCUCGUGUCGUGAGAUGUCGGGUUAAGUCCCUCAACGAGCGCAACCCUCGUGACUAGUUGUAUAUGUCUAGUCAGACUGCCUCGGUAACGGGGAGGAAGGAGGGGAUGACGCCAGGUCAGCAUGUCCCUUACGCCUUGGGCGACACACACGCUACAAUGGCCGGUACAAUGGGCUGCCAAAUCGCGAGAUGGAGCUAAUCCCAUCAAAACCGGUCCCAGUUCGGAUUGCAGGCUGAAACUCGCCUGCAUGAAGUUGGAAUCGCUAGUAACCGUAGGUCAGCACACUACGGUGAAUACGUUCCCGGGUCUUGUACACACCGCCCGUC
rnacentral:rRNA from 1 species